rnacentral:sRNA from 1 species
UCAGAGUUCUCCGCCUUUGGCCUGCUC